AUAGCUCAGUCGGUAGAGCAUCAGACUUUUAAUCUGAGGGUCGUGGGUUCAUGUCUCCCU
rnacentral:tRNA from 1 species